GGCCUUGAGCCGUGGCUUUCGGAGCUAACGCGUUAAGUAGACCGCCUGGGGAGUACGGUCGCAAGAUUAAAACUCAAAUGAAUUGACGGGGGCCCGCACAAGCGGUGGAGCAUGUGGUUUAAUUCGAUGCAACGCGAAGAACCUUACCUACUCUUGACAUCCAGAGAACUUUCCAGAGAUGGAUUGGUGCCUUCGGGAACUCUGAGACAGGUGCUGCAUGGCUGUCGUCAGCUC
rnacentral:rRNA from 1 species